GGAUGAACGCUAGCGGGAGGCUUAACACAUGCAAGUCGAGGGGCAGCACAGAUAGCAAUAUUAGGUGGCGACCGGCGGACGGGUGAGUAACGCGUAUGCAACCUACCCUGUACAGGGGGAUAGCCCGGAGAAAUUCGGAUUAAUACCCCAUGGUUCAGUGAAUCUGCAUGGAUUUACUGAUAAAUCUUCGGAGGUACGGGAUGGGCAUGCGUUCCAUUAGCUAGUUGGUAGGGUAACGGCCUACCAAGGCAACGAUGGAUACGGGGUCUUAAAGGAUGGACCCGCACACUGGCACUGAGACACGGGCCAGACUCCUACGGGAGGCAGCAGUGAGGAAUAUUGGUCAAUGGGGGGAACCCUGAACCAGCCAUCCCGCGUGCAGGAAGACAGUUCUAUGGAUUGUAAACUGCUUUUACUGGGGAAGAAUAAUGUUGACGAGUCGACAGAUGACGGUACCCAGUGAAUAAGCAUCGGCUAACUCCGUGCCAGCAGCCGCGGUAAUACGGAGGAUGCAAGCGUUAUCCGGAUUUAUUAGGUUUAAAGGGCGCGUAGGCGGCUGUGUAAGUCAGUAGUGGAAGUCCAGCUUUUAAGGUUGGAAGUGCUAUUGAAACUGUGCAGCUUGAGUGCAGGAGAGGUUAUCGGAAUUCCCGGUGUAGCGGUGAAAUGCGUAGAGAUCGGGAGGAACACCAGUGGCGAAGGCGGGUAACUGGACUGCAACUGACGCUGAGGCGCGAAAGUGUGGGGAGCAAACAGGAUUAGAUACCCUGGUAGUCCACACUGUAAACGAUGAAUGCUAGGUGUAGGGGGUAUCGACCCCUUCUGUGCCGGAGUAAACACAAUAAGCAUUCCGCCUGGGGAGUACGGUCGCAAGAUUAAAACUCAAAGGAAUUGACGGGGGCCCGCACAAGCAGCGGAGCAUGUGGUUUAAUUCGAAGCAACGCGAAGAACCUUACCAGGUCUUGACAUCCAGGUAAAGCUGCAGAGAUGCAGUGUGUGCUUGCACAAUCUGAGACAGGUGGUGCAUGGUUGUCGUCAGCUCGUGUCGUGAGAUGUUGGGUUAAGUCCCGCAACGAGCGCAACCCUUGCCGGCAGUUACUAACAGGUGAAGCUGAGGACUCUGCUGGGACCGCCGGGGACAACUCGGAGGAAGGUGGGGACGACGUCAAAUCAUCAUGCCCCUUAUGACCUGGGCUACACACGUGCUACAAUGGCCGAGACAGAGAGCAGCGAGGGCGCAAGCCGGAGCGAAUCUCAAAAAAGCGGUCACAGUUCGGAUUGUGGGCUGCAACCCGCCCACAUGAAGCAGGAGUUGCUAGUAAUCGCGAAUCAGCAUGUCGCGGUGAAUACGUUCCCGGGCCU
rnacentral:rRNA from 1 species